AGGAUCAUUAUCGAGUUCUGACGAGGAGUCUUGAUGCUGGCCCAGCAAUGGGCAUGUGCUCGGCUCCCUGCUCAAAUCCAACUCAACCACUGUGCACUACUUCAAGCUUGUUGGUCCUCCAGCCACUACGGCGCGGAGCAGCUCUCUUAACACGAGAGUCGGGGCUGACAGGUUUGACUAUCACACAAACUACUUUGAAGUCUUGUAGAAUGUUAAUACUAUUGAAACAAUACAACUUUCAACAACGGAUCUCUAGGCUCUCGCAUCGAUGAAGAACGCAGCGAAAUGCGAUAAGUAAUGUGAAUUGCAGAAUUCAGUGAAUCAUCGAAUCUUUGAACGCACCUUGCGCUCUUUGGUAUUCCGAAGAGCAUGCCUGUUUGAGUGUCAUGAAAUCAUCAACCCCCUACACUUUUUGUGUUAGCGGCGGCUUGGACUUGGAGGCUUAUGCUGGCUUCUCGAAGUCGGCUCCUCUUGAAUGCAUUAGCUGGACUUGUGUUUCGCAGUACGCGGUGUGAUAAUUUAUUCACCCAUGUGCGCUUACACUCCUAGUCAAGCUUCUAAUCGCUCGUAACUGAGCAAUUCUUGACCAUCUGACCUCAAAUC
rnacentral:rRNA from 1 species